CCGGGGCUGGGAGCCCCUCUCUCCGGGGGCGGAGUUCCCGGCGGUCGGCGGCAGAUGGGGGAGGCCCCAGUGGGGCGCACGUGGAUGAAUUUCUGGGAGGAAACCAUGUACCAUCCGCUGUCGCUCGCUGCCAUCCAGUGUUUUCUCCCCCCAGUGAACAUAUGCAGGAUGGAGGUCAGGCGGGGUCGUCUUGGUCCACUGUGUUUGCCAGCCCAGAGGGAAAGUCUCCAGACACUGCCUUUUGAGUUGCCUGUUACAGAGACAAGAGACGGGGAGCCUGCAUACCAACUAUUACGAUGAAGCUGUGUAGCCUUAAGCAAGCCACUGCACCCCUCUGUGCCUUGGUUUCCUAAGCGAGAGACUGAGAAUGAUGAUCCCUGUGUCCAGGCCUGGAAAGACUGAGAAAGGUACCCUAUACAGAAAAGCACCUAGCGUACAGGGCAGACUGUUGAUCAGGAAAAAGAGCCUCCCUUGAGUGUCUGUGGUCAGCGAACUUGGCCUGGGGGCCCAGGGCAGGAGCCUUCAGAAUCAGCGCACUGCCUGGCCACCCCCGCAGCCUGUGAUCCCCGGCCAGGCACUCCGAUCCUUCAGCUGUCAACGCAAGCACACUCCAGUGCUUUCUGCUUUGCCUUUGGUCUCCCCCAGGAAGUUUGGAACACGACUGAGAUCAUCAUUGUCAAGCUCUCUGAGCUUCUGGUGCAAGGCCAGCCUGAUAAGGCCCACCCAGGUGCCACCCUCCACUUCAUCCCCACCCCCAGCUCCACCUUCCUGAUCUCUGGCUCCUGCGUGGCUGUGGUUGUGGGCUCAGAACAAGAUUGAGUUUCUGCUUUCCUCCUCCUCCCUCCUCCUCCCUGGGGGCUGGGAAGGAGCCCACACUCUAAGGAAGAACUCUGUCCCUUACAGGUUGAAGAAAGAAAGUAGUGCCUGUGGGGGCCCAGGUUGUGUGGGGCCCAGAACCAUCCCCAACACCUAGCACAGCCCUGGCUCAUAGUAGACUCAUAAAAUGAAUGAAAUUGAUUUAAUGUCAGGACUAGGGAUUCACUCAUUCACGCUUUACGACUCUAAAGAAGCUGUUGUUAUUCUAUUUUAUAGAAAGGGCAACUAAAACACAAAAUCACCAAGCCAGGAAGUGGCAAGACUGGGAUUUAAAUCCAGAGCAAUCCCGGGAUAGAGCUCUUGUGUCUUCCCCUGCAGCCCAGGACUGGGCACCCUGACCGUGAGCAUCACUCUGCAACAGUCUGGGUUGUUGUAGGGCCUCCCGGAGCCCACGGCAGGGAAGGGGCUGGGUGCCUGCGGUGCUGGCCCUGCCUCCUCCUUCCCCUCUGGACUUGGGUUGGCCCCUCUGUUUCCGGGCCCUGUGCCACUGGCAUUGCCCUCGAGCUCUGGGCCCUAGGCUGUGCCACCCCCAGGCAGAUCUUCAGCCCCCAGGCCUCUGCCCCACUGGGGGCUUUGAGGAUGAGGUCACAUGCCUUGGACCUGUCUCCCCUCAGGUCUCAGGACCCUUCACCUGCGCUGCUCCCCUGCCCUCUGACCCUUGAGCAAGGCGGGCAUCCUGCAGGGAUCCCACAUCCGACCCCGACAAGGAGCGGAGCCCAGGGAGAGAGAACCAGGUUUUGCUCUCCUGCCAUGUACCAGCUCUAUGACCCCGGGCAAUUAUGUCCACUUCUCCAGGCCCCAGGUUCUUCAACUGGAAAAUGCGGAUAGAAAAAAAUCCAUGCCUAACUCCCAGGGCUGUCAUGAGGAUCAAUUAAGGCAAAAGCUGGAAAGCACUUUACAAAUUCUCCACUUCCUCUUAUUCUCCGCCUUUUCCUGAGGGCCGAUCCCCAGCUCUCCUUCCUCAUGUCCCUGCUCGCCUGGCCUGAUGUGCAUGUGAUCAUCGAUCCAGGGUCUGACCCCCGAGGACUGCAGGUGCCUCCCAGCCUUCCCUUCAUGAAGAACAGCACGACACCAUUUAAAAACCUAGAGAAGGCCUCACGGAAGUCCACACCGCUGUCUGAUUGCAUGUUAAGCCCCUGGAGCCAGAGACCCCAGUUCUCUGUGAUUCUCAAGGAAUCAGGCCCAGAAAGCCACCAGUGGGAGGCGGUGGCCAGGCCAGCCUCCUUGAGGAGAGGAAAGGCAUCCACAAAGCUGACUCUGGAGUUUCACAGGUACCAUCGUAAAGAGGAGAUAAAUCACCGCGGACGUCAGAGAAGGAAAAGACCCUUUCCAGAUGUGGAGAACCCAGGGAGAAAUCCUCUUCCUUUCUGCUCCCCUUCAACGCACCCACUUCGAGGGUCAGCUUAAAUGCCAUCUCUGAAACAGAGCUGCUCUGAUCUGCAUACGUGUGUGAACUCGUUCUCCUAAGGAAACACAGCACUCUGCAUGGACCCGCUCUGUGACACCUCGUGGGUUCUGUGUGGGAGUUUCGGACCGUUCCAUCUGUGCGCAGCUUUGCAUCCUGUCUGCAAUCGGGCUGUGUAAAUUCUUCCCAAACGGAGGCCAGGGUCUGCCAACUUUUGUAUUCCUCCCCCCACAACCUGCCACCCAGCCCCAGCUUCAUACCUGGUACUUAGUAGGUUCUGAAUUAAUGCUUGUUGAAGGAAAGAAAGGAGGAGGGAACGAGAGUAAGGAAGAAAGAAGA